CCUACGGGCGGCAGCAGUCGAGAAUCAUUCAUAAUGGGGGAAACCCUGAUGGUGCGACGCCGCGUGGGGGAAUGAAGGUCUUCGGAUUGUAAACCCCUGUCAUGUGGGAGCAAAUUAAAAAGAUAGUACCACAAGAGGAAGAGACGGCUAACUCUGUGCCAGCAGCCGCGGUAAUACAGAGGUCUCAAGCGUUGUUCGGAAUCACUGGGCGUAAGGCGUGCGUAGGCUGUUUCGUAAGUCGUGUGUGAAAGGCGCGGGCUCAACCCGCGGACGGCACAUGAUACUGCGAGACUAGAGUAAUGGAGGGGGAACCGGAAUUCUCGGUGUAGCAGUGAAAUGCGUAGAUAUCGAGAGGAACACUCGUGGCGAAGGCGGGUUCCUGGACAUUAACUGACGCUGAGGCACGAAGGCCAGGGGAGCGAAAGGGAUUAGAUACCCUUGUAGUC
rnacentral:rRNA from 1 species